rnacentral:rRNA from 1 species
UAGCUAGUUGGUGAGGUAAAGGCUUACCAAGGCGACGAUCUGUAGCGGGUCUGAGAGGAUGAUCCGCCACACUGGAACUGAGACACGGUCCAGACUCCUACGGGAGGCAGCAGAGGGGAAUUUUGGACAAUGGGGGCAACCCUGAUCCAGCCAUGCCGCGUGAGUGAAGAAGGCCUUCGGGUUGUAAAGCUCUUUCGGCCGGGAAGAAAUCGCAUGGGCCAAUACCCUGUGUGGAUGACGGUACCGGAAUAAGAAGCACCGGCUAACUACGUGCCAGCAGCCGCGGUAAUACGUAGGGUGCGAGCGUUAAUCGGAAUUACUGGGCGUAAAGCGUGCGCAGGCGGUUUUGUAAGACAGGCGUGAAAUCCCCGGGCUUAACCUGGGAACUGCGUUUGUGACUGCAAGGCUAGAGUACGGCAGAGGGGGGUGGAAUUCCACGUGUAGCAGUGAAAUGCGUAGAGAUGUGGAGGAACACCAAUGGCGAAGGCAGCCCCCUGGGUCGAUACUGACGCUCAUGCACGAAAGCGUGGGUAGCAAACAGGAUUAGAUACCCUGGUAGUCCACGCCCUAAACUAUGUCAACUAGGUGUUGGGUGGGUAAAACCAUUUAGUACCGUAGCUAACGCGUGAAGUUGACCGCCUGGGGAGUACGGCCGCAAGGUUAAAACUCAAAGGAAUUGACGGGGACCCGCACAAGCGGUGGAUGAUGUGGAUUAAUUCGAUGCAACGCGAAAAACCUUACCUACCCUUGACAUGCCAGGAACUUGCCAGAGAUGGCUUGGUGCCCGAAAGGGAGCCUGGACACAGGUGCUGCAUGGCUGUCGUCAGCUCGUGUCGUGAGAUGUUGGGUUAAGUCCCGCAACGAGCGCAACCCUUGUCGUUAAUUGCCAUCAUUUAGUUGGGCACUUUAACGAGACUGCCGGUGACAAACCGGAGGAAGGUGGGGAUGGCGUCAAGUCCUCAUGGCCCUUAUGGGUAGGGCUUCACACGUCAUACAAUGGUCGGUACAAAGGGUUGCCAAGCCGCGAGGCGGAGCCAAUCCCAGAAAGCCGAUCGUAGUCCGGAUUGCAGGCUGCAACUCGCCUGCAUGAAGUCGGAAUCGCUAGUAAUCGUGGAUCAGCAUGUCACGGUGAAUACGUUCCCGGGUCUUGUACACACCGCCCGUCACACCAUGGGAGCGGGUUCCGCCAGAAGUAGGUAGCCUAACCGCGAGGGGGGCGCUUACCACGGCGGGGUUCGUGACUGGGGUGAAGUCGAAACAAGGUAGCCGUAGGGGAACCUGCGGCUG